CGACCGUCGAACACGUGACAGAACGCUGCCGCGGAGGCGCUCGCCGCCUCCUCGGCCCCACCGGCCUCCUCCCUCUCGCCCUUCCGGGCGCGUCGGUCGCUGGCCGGAACACGGCGCGGGAUGACGCCAAGGAACACGGUAAAGCCGAGGCGCCGGCGGGCCGCUCGAGGUCUCCGCCGGUUGCCGGGGCCAACAGAAAAAAAAUACGACUCUCGGCAACGGAUAUCUCGGCUCUCGCAUCGAUGAAGAACGUAGCGAAAUGCGAUACGUGGUGUGAAUUGCAGAAUCCCGUGAACCAUCGAGUCUUUGAACGCAAGUUGCGCCCGAGGGACCCUCCCGAGGGCACGCCUGCCUCACGGGCGUUAGAAGCCCAUCCACGCUCGGCUGCCCGACCAGCGGCAGAGAUGCGGACAUUGGCCCUCCGAACCGCGAGGCGCGGUGGGCCUAAGUGUGCGGCCGUCGUACGUGGCCGGGAGCGGCGAGUGGUGGGCUGCUGCGCACGCCGCCCCGAGCCCCGUAGCGACGCAGGGCCUUGUACGACCCCCUAACGAGGAGCAAGCCGCUGCGGCUCCGGCCGCGCGGCGCCUUCGGACCGAUACCCCAG
rnacentral:sRNA from 1 species